UCACCAGUGGCACAAAGUAUGAAUUGCAUCUGUAAGGUUAAAUGAUACACUUCUAAAUUGUUCUGACUAAACGACAGUCCUUUUCCCUUUAUGAUGUAACAUGUGGAAGGCAUUGUCAGGAGGCAUAGAUUCUAGGGCGACACAAAGGGUUUCAUGUUUGUGCUUGGUUGAAUUUGAAGGUGCUCUGAUUGAGGAUAUGCUGGAAGGGGCUGCAGAGGAACACAUUUCUAUCAUUAAUGCACCAUGCUCAGACAUCACUUCAGUUUUGGGAAUCAUGGCUAGGGAUGCAGCCUGCAGAGGAAAUUAGAGGACAAACCCCAGAAGCAGAUGCUACAAAGAUGAUGUUACAAAGGGGGAAAAAAAUCA
rnacentral:lncRNA from 1 species